rnacentral:rRNA from 1 species
GUGGGGAAUAUUGCGCAAUGGGGGAAACCCUGACGCAGCAACGCCGCGUGAGUGAUGAAGGCUUUCGAGUCGUAAAACUCUGUCUUUGGGGACGAAUAAUGACGGUACCCAAGGAGGAAGCCCCGGCUAACUACGUGCCAGCAGCCGCGGUAAUACGUAGGGGGCGAGCGUUGUCCGGAAUCACUGGGCGUAAAGGGCGCGUAGGCGGUUUGUUAAGUCAGGUGUGAAAGUUUUCAGCUUAACUGGAAAAGUGCACUUGAAACUAACUUACUUGAGUACUGGAGAGGUAAGCGGAAUUCCUAGAGUAGCGGUGAAAUGCGUAGAUAUUAGGAAGAACACCGGUGGCGAAGGCGGCUUACUGGACAGAGACUGACGCUGAGGCGCGAAAGCGUGGGGAGCGAACAGGAUUAGAAACCCGUGUAGUCC